GCCCACAUAGCUCAGUGGAAGAGCAGUAGCCUUCUAAGCUAAAGGUCGUAGGUUCGAUCCCUACUGUGGGUACCA
rnacentral:tRNA from 1 species